GAUGAACGCUGGCGGCGUGCUUAACACAUGCAAGUCGAACGAGAAAUGGAGACGGAAACCUUCGGGCGGAAGGCUUCAUUUCGAGUGGCGGACGGGUGAGUAACGCGUGGGUAACCUGCCUCAUACAGGGGGAUAACAGUUGGAAGCGACUGUUAAUACCGCAUAAGACCACAGCACCGCAUGGUGCGGGGGUAAAAACUCCGGUGGUAUGAGAUGGACCCGCGUUCGAUUAGCCAGUUGGCGGGGUAACGGCCCACCAAAGCGACGAUCGAUAGCCGAUCUGAGAGGAUGACCGGCCACAUUGGGACUGAGACACGGCCCAAACUCCUACGGGAGGCAGCAGUGGGGAAUAUUGCACAAUGGGGGAAACCCUGAUGCAGCGACGCCGCGUGAGUGAAGAAGUACUUCGGUAUGUAAAGCUCUAUCAGCAGGGAAGAAAAUGACGGUACCUGAGUAAGAAGCCCCGGCUAACUACGUG
rnacentral:rRNA from 1 species